UCUUACCAUGCAGUCGAACGAUGAAGCCCUUCGGGGUGGAUUAGUGGCGAACGGGUGAGUAACACGUGGGCAAUCUGCCCUGCACUCUGGGACAAGCCCUGGAAACGGGGUCUAAUACCGGAUAUGACUGUCCGCCGCAUGGUGGAUGGUGUAAAGCUCCGGCGGUGCAGGAUGAGCCCGCGGCCUAUCAGCUUGUUGGUGAGGUAGUGGCUCACCAAGGCGACGACGGGUAGCCGGCCUGAGAGGGCGACCGGCCACACUGGGACUGAGACACGGCCCAGACUCCUACGGGAGGCAGCAGUGGGGAAUAUUGCACAAUGGGCGAAAGCCUGAUGCAGCGACGCCGCGUGAGGGAUGACGGCCUUCGGGUUGUAAACCUCUUUCAGCAGGGAAGAAGCGAGAGUGACGGUACCUGCAGAAGAAGCGCCGGCUAACUACGUGCCAGCAGCCGCGGUAAUACGUAGGGCGCAAGCGUUGUCCGGAAUUAUUGGGCGUAAAGAGCUCGUAGGCGGCUUGUCACGUCGGUUGUGAAAGCCCGGGGCUUAACCCCGGGUCUGCAGUCGAUACGGGCAGGCUAGAGUUCGGUAGGGGAGAUCGGAAUUCCUGGUGUAGCGGUGAAAUGCGCAGAUAUCAGGAGGAACACCGGUGGCGAAGGCGGAUCUCUGGGCCGAUACUGACGCUGAGGAGCGAAAGCGUGGA
rnacentral:rRNA from 1 species